CGGGUUGUAGCUCAGUGGUAGAGUGCUUGUCUCUCACACAUGAGGCCAUGGGUACAAUCCUCAGCACCACAU
rfam:Ictidomys tridecemlineatus contig099085, whole genome shotgun sequence.